rnacentral:rRNA from 1 species
AUUGAACGCUGGCGGCAUGCUUUACACAUGCAAGUCGAACGGUAACAGGUCAAGCUGACGAGUGGCGAACGGGUGAGUAAUGCAUCGGAACGUGCCCGGUCGUGGGGGAUAACGCAGCGAAAGCUGCGCUAAUACCGCAUACGAUCUGAGGAUGAAAGCGGGGGACCGUAAGGCCUCGCGCGAUCGGAGCGGCCGAUAUCAGAUUAGGUAGUUGGUGGGGUAAAGGCUCACCAAGCCAACGAUCUGUAGCUGGUCUGAGAGGACGACCAGCCACAAUGGGACUGAGACACGGCCCAGACUCCUACGGGAGGCAGCAGUGGGGAAUUGUGGACAAUGGGCGAAAGCCUGAUCCAGCAAUGCCGCGUGCAGGAAGAAGGCCUUCGGGUUGUAAACUGCUUUUGUACGGAGCGAAAAGGUCUCCUCUAAUACAGGGGGCUCAUGACGGUACCGUAAGAAUAAGCACCGGCUAACUACGUGCCAGCCGCCGCGGUAA